rnacentral:rRNA from 1 species
GAUGAACGCUGGCGGCGUGCCUAAUACAUGCAAGUCGAGCGAACGGGCGAGAAGCUUGCUUCUCUGAUGUUAGCGGCGGACGGGUGAGUAACACGUGGAUAACCUACCUAUAAGACUGGGAUAACUUCGGGAAACCGGAGCUAAUACCGGAUGAUAUUUUGAACCGCAUGGUUCAAAAGUGAAAGACGGUCUUGCUGUCACUUAUAGAUGGAUCCGCGCUGCAUUAGCUAGUUGGUAAGGUAACGGCUUACCAAGGCAACGAUGCAUAGCCGACCUGAGAGGGUGAUCGCCCACACUGGAACUGAGACACGGUCCAGACUCCUACGGGAGGCAGCAGUAGGGAAUCUUCCGCAAUGGGCGAAAGCCUGACGGAGCAACGCCGCGUGAUUGAUGAAGGUCUUCGGAUCGUAAAACUCUGUUAUUAGGGAAGAACAUAUGUGUAAGUACCUGUGCACAUCUUGACGGUACCUAAUCAGAAAGCCACGGCUAACUACGUG